rnacentral:rRNA from 1 species
UAACAGGAAGCAGCUUGCUGCUUCGCUGACGAGUGGCGGACGGGUGAGUAAUGUCUGGGAAACUGCCCGAUGGAGGGGGAUAACUACUGGAAACGGUAGCUAAUACCGCAUAAUGUCGCAAGACCAAAGAGGGGGACCUUCGGGCCUCUUGCCAUCGGAUGUGCCCAGAUGGGAUUAGCUUGUUGGUGAGGUAACGGCUCACCAAGGCGACGAUCCCUAGCUGGUCUGAGAGGAUGACCAGCCACACUGGAACUGAGACACGGUCCAGACUCCUACGGGAGGCAGCAGUGGGGAAUAUUGCACAAUGGGCGCAAGCCUGAUGCAGCCAUGCCGCGUGUAUGAAGAAAGCCUUCGGGUUGUAAAGUACUUUCAGCGGGGAGGAAGGGGUUAAGGUUAAUAACCUUAGCCAUUGACGUUACCCGCAGAAGAAGCACCGGCUAACUCCGUGCCAGCAGCCGCGGUAAUACCGAAGGUGCAAGCGUUAAUCGGAAUUACUGGGCGUAAAGCGCACGCAGGCGGUCUGUCAAGUCCGAUGUGAAAUCCCCGGGCUCAACCUGGGAACUGCAUUCCAAACUGGCAGGCUUGAGUCUCGUAGAGGGGGGUAGAAUU